ACCAGACGCGGUGGCUCACGCCUGUAAUCCCAGCACUUUGGGAGGCCAAAGGGGACAGAUCACCUGAGGUUGGGAGUUCAAAGCCAGCCUGACCAACAUGAUGAAAUCCCAUCUCUACUAAAAAUACUAAAAUUAGCCUGGCGUGGUGGCACAUGCCUGUAAUCNNNNNNNNNNGAUUACAGGCAUGUGCCACCACGCCAGGCUAAUUUUAGUAUUUUUAGUAGAGAUGGGAUUUCAUCAUGUUGGUCAGGCUGGCUUUGAACUCCCAACCUCAGGUGAUCUGUCCCCUUU
rnacentral:SRP_RNA from 1 species